CGGCGGCUGCGCGGAGAGGCGGGGAGCCCUGGGCAAGGGCGCUGCAACCCCGAGACGCCGGCGCUGCGGCCUGCAGGGUCUUUGCAUCUGUCAUCUUUCGGACCCGUGCAGCUAGAUUCCACAUAGAAGUGAAAUCAUGUGGUAUUUGUCUUUCUUCGUGUUGUAACAAAUGCUUCUGAGAGCUUCCAUGCGGAUGAACCAGAAUGCCUCCACCUGCCAGGAGGGUGGC